UGGAGAUGGAAGAGAGAUCCCAGCUGCUCUGCAUCCUGCUCUUGGGCCUCUUUGAAUCACCUGGGGCGCGUGUCAAAGGAAGAGUUCACGAACGCAGUGGAUUCCGAAAUUAAAUUGGAAAGGAGCAUUUGGUAUUAUCAAAAAUCACCAUGUGGAUUCAGCUGUCACAUUUCAAGCUGCAUUUCACUUCCCAUUACGGAUGACUCAGUUUAUAGAAGAGCUUUUUUUGUGGCUGUCUGUAAGACAACAGCUUUAUGCAGAUAUAUAAAAAUGGAUGAAAAUACGUUUCCACGCGCGAACAUAUUCAAUAUUGUCUGUAUUGUUCAACAUUGAUGUUGAAAUAUGAUUUAAACGGUUUUGACGUCAAACUAUUUCAAAUGACCGGAUGGAAAAGCAAGGAGAUAAUAAAAAUUAUUAUUAUUAGUUGUGCGGAUGUAUAAUGUAUGCACAGCAUAUAAUACUUCAAUCACUUUAACCAGGAAGUAAACUAUUGCAAUUU